UAAAAAGAGAUAUGAACUUGGAGGAGAGGUAAAAAGAGAAAGUGCUAAGAAAUGAAGCUAAGGAAAAAAAGCGAGAAAAGGAUGGAGAUCGAGAAAAAGGAUUUCUACUGGCGAGUUCCAGAUAUGAGACUAAAGAAGUGACUGAUACUAAUAUAAAUGAGUUGUUCUCCAACAUAUUGGAAGUUAGGGAUUAUUUGAAAGAGAAAAAGCCAGAUGUAAUGUGCAUCGCUGAAACAAAACUAAAAGCGGAGAUCCAUGUUAACUUUAUAGAGGAGAGAUAUAAUAGCUGGAAAAGAGACAGGAAGGGUAAAAGGGGAGGAGUGCUGUUGUGAUCUGUUCUUGGGGCGCUUUUAUUAUCCCUUUUACCUUAUGAUUUAGUUACUUAGUCUCUUCUCAUGGAGAGGUUCUAGGUGGGUAUAUGCAUAUGGUUGAUAAAACCAAUAUAACUUUCUUAGAUUUAUUAAUAUGUAUACUUUUUUAGUAUUUCUUUGUCACUGAUGUUUAACGGCAAAUUCGUAUCACAUGGUUAACCAACCUUACCCUGUCUUAUGACGAGAUUUUACUUUUCUAUAAUAAAGUACUGGUACUGAUUGUUUCCUAAUUAAUUCCUAACCAAUCCUAAUAUAAAUAAUAUCUAAACACUAAAAGUACGCACAGAAAUUAAUAAUAUGAGUUACUAAAAUAAACCAACUCCCUUGCCUUGCUCUAAGCUUUACUCACAACCAACAGAGUGUUGGACAUCAUCUUCCUCUUUUGAUUCUUCUCUUGCUAUAGCCAUGCUUGCCUUUCCUUCUUUCUUCUCUCUUUUUUAUUCUAUUUUCUUCAUUCUUCUUUCUUCUUUGUUUUCUUUUCUUCUUUCUUCUUAACUCCUUUAUGCUUUGGGACCGUGGAGACGGAGAAGUGUCUGGAUUCUGCUGACGAAGGGCUUUCUAGAGGGCUUAGGUGAGCAGCAGGUUUUGGAGAUCCUUAUUCUAUGGUUUUAGGACCUGAACUGAUGAUCCACACAGCUUCUGUCGAUUCUGUAGCAGAGUUGUAAGGGGUGUAGCACGCUGUUGCCACGCAGGAUUACUCAUAUACUGCUCUGGGUCGUCCCUAUCUCCAGAAGUUAUGGGGCCGUGACUGAUAGCACAUCCCUCUCUCUCUCUGUUCUAUCGGUUUUCUGUAGAUCGUUGUUCUCCAAGUUUUGCAUAUUCUCUGUUGCUGUUGGUAACCUGUCACGCUUCCAGCAGUGCUGACAAUGGUUCAUGAUAAUAUAUUGUUGCUGUGACACAAAGUGAGUAGUGAAGAUAGCGUUAGCAUUUGCAAUGCUAUCCGGUUGGCAUCACUGCUUUGGCUUACAGAUGUGGUGUUGAGGGAUACCAGAUGUUCAUGACCGGAAGCAGGUGGAUAAGCCAACUGUGAUUGGCUCAUGGGUUAGCCAAUGGGAGUAGAGUAAGGGGGGAGGCAUAUAAAGCUGGCUACAGCUUGGCUUGCCCCUGUCAGUGGUCUUCUUCCCCCAACCCAGUUUAGUCUUCUCUUGCGCUUCUUCUCUUGACUUGCCCUCUUCUACCAGUUCGUACUCUGUGUGCCACCCUGUACUGUAUUACACACCAGUACACUAAAGGGGUUGUGCCAAGUGUUUCAUGUACCCUGCCUCUCUGAGUAAGUCUGCCCGAGUGCCUUGUACUCUCUCCCCUUGCUAGCCACGAAUCUUCGCCUAGAAGUAUCCCUGAGUCUGUUGCCGUCUUGUCCUGUGCUUUCCUGGGCUGCCGUUGUGGUUAAGUGUGUUCCUGUCAUGGUUGUGGAAGCUGUGAGGACGUGGGGGGCGGCAUAACAGUUGGUGUCAGGAGCUGUGGGAUAAAGUUUGGCUAGGGAGGUUGCCAGGUACGAAUGCACUAUGGUAGAUUCAGACAUGAGAGGCAGUGAAAGGCUGGAAGACAGUAAGCCAGGUUGGAAAAGGCUGAAAAACCUGUUCGCUGGGAUGAUGGUACGAAUGGACAAAAUGGCAAGUGAAAUGAAACAGGAAAUAAGUGAAAGUAAACAAGAAACGAGUGCAGUGGUUGUGCGAAUGGACAAAAUGGCACAGGAAAUGAGUGCAGUGGUGGGGCGAAUGAACUUGAUGCGAGAGGAGAUGCGAGCAGCAGUCGGGAAGCAAGACAGUUCACCUUGGAAUACAGCAAGAGGCUGCGGCAGGACCUGACAGAAGAGUUCAAGGAGGAACUGGUAGCAGUGAGACAACAGUGGUGGUAGUGGUAGUGGUAGUGGUGAGAGGACGCCCCUGAAUCCUCGCCCUCCAGGACGAGGCUUCAGGGGCGUCUUUUCACCACUACCAUCACCACCACUAGACUUUGAAGGAUGUGUUCAAAAUAAAAUAAUCUUUCACUGUACAUAUACAUUUUGCAUUAAACCCAUUUCUAUUAUGCUUAUUAAUGCUUUUAUUAAUAAACUUACAAAGACAUACAAAUGACUAUGAAAAAGGAAAAUGUUUAAACACAAAAUUAUUCCUCUAUUUUGCUACUUCCUCCUCUGAUGUGUCACCAUUGUUGUCAUCUGUCUCCGAUUCUGUUACUUGACUUGGUGUGUGUGGUCUGAAGAAGCUUGUAUAUUGAUUGCCGUGUCCCGCUGGCCAAGAGAGAAAAGAUGCAGCGCAUGGUAGAGAUGGCUGUGCAGGGGAUAGUGGAGCAUUCUGACAGCCCGUGGUUGUCGCCCGUAGUCCUGGUGAACAAGAAGGAUGGCACCAAGCGCUUCUGUGUAGAUUACAGGGCGCUGAAUAACGUCACGGUAUCUCCUAUCCCCUGCCCAGGAUAGACGACACCCAGGAUGCUCUGGUUGGUGUUCAGUGGUUGUCCACUUUUGAUCUUAAAUUGGGAUAUCACCAGGUGAUGUUAGCAAUGGCAGACAAGCAGAAGACAGCGUUCUCCUUUGGGCAGGGAUUGUGGCAAUUCCGGGUGAUGCUGUUCAGGUUGAGCAAUGCCCCUGGGUGCUUUGAGUGGCUGAUGGAGAAGGUGCUGGCAAAGUUGCAGUGGAAGGCAGCUUUAGUGUACCUGGACGAUGUUCUGGUGUUCGCAAGGAAGUUUGAGGAGGAGCUGCAACGUCUAAAGGUGGCACUGGGCCGUCUGCGGGAGGCAAACCUGAAACUGAACCCGAAGAAAUGCACCUUCUUCCAGCAUGAAAUGUCGUUCCUGGGGCAUGUUGUGGGGUGAGGCGGUGUGUGCACGGACCCUAACAAGGUGUUGGCAGUCCCGACGUCAGUGGUGAGCAUGAGAAGCUUCCUUAGCCUGUGCAGCUACUACCGCAGGUUUGUGGAAGGCUUUGCCACCCUUGCUGCUCCCCUGCAUCAGCUGACAAGGAAGAAUGUCCACUUCACCUGGGAUGAAUCUUACCAGGACGCGUUCAGUGGUCUGAAGGCGAUGAUGAUAAGUGCUCCAGUGCUGCCCUUUCCUGAUCCUGGCCUCCCCUUCAUCCUCGACACUGAUGCAGGCACAGAGGGCCUUGGAGCAGUGUUGUCUCAGGUAAAGGAAGAUAAUGAGUAUGUAUUGGCCUAUUACAACUCCAAGUUCAGCAAGCCUGAGCGGGAUUACUGCGUCACCAGGAAGGAGUUGCUGGCUAUUGUGAGGAAUUUGGCCCACUUCCACUAGUACCUUUAUGAAGCUGAGUUUGUCGCAAAAUUGCUCGUGCGACGUUCAGUCCAUUUUGUUAGCGGACCGAGCGUCAAGAGGGUGCAGGUAGUAAAGUUAAGCUGCCUGAGACUCCAGUGCACCACAAUUCCUACCAGGUGGUUGUAAUCCUUUAAUUACUCACACACCACAUGUUCGCUGCAUCUACACUCAUAGACAGCUAUUCUUUUUUCACCAUGUAACUUAUCAUGACACACACACACACACACACGCCCGGUAGCUCAGUGGUUAGAGCGCUGGCUUCACAAGCCAGAGGACCGAGGUUCGAUUCCCCGGCCGGGUGGAGAUAUUUGGGUGUGUGUCCUUUCACGUGUAGCCCCUGUUCACCUAGCAGUGAGUAGGUACGGGAUGUAAAUCGAGGAGUUGUGACCUUGUUGUCCCGGUGUGUGGUGUGUGCCUGGGCCGCGUUCCGUUGGCGUACAGUAUGGCAUACUUCCCCCGAAUCGGGGGGGACCAGCAUACGGCUCGCCUUGCGGAAGCGUGCGGGACCUUGCGCUCCUCGGAGGUGAAUGCUUGGCGGUGUCUGGCAACCUUUGUUUAUCAACAAACUGCAAAGAUGGCCGCCUCUUCACCACUAUGCUUUCAGUGUGGGGGCUGCCAACGCUAUUUUGAUAGCUUAUGCAGUGUUGCCAGAUUGGGCUACUAAUCGCAAAUUGGGCUACUUUCUGAUGUGCUGCGCUACUAAAUUUUGACGUCUGCGACUUGCGACUUUUUGGGCUACUUUGGAAUGUGGUUGGGUUAAUAUAUAUGCUUUCGUCAUAAAGUAGGUACACGUAUUUUCUCUCAAAGAUAUCACUUAGAUAUUUUUUUCAUCUAAUUAAAGAAUAAGUUUCCGAUGUUUGUAUAUACCUCUGGGCAAAGUCAUCGAAAUUAACCCGGUAGCAGCGACGAUCGCAAAACUGAGCGUCCCCUCCAAGCGGCAUUAAUUGGGAAAAAUGCCACCCUCGCAAAUCUCUCUAUAAUAUAUAUGAACGCAUUCUCCAUCAGUUUCUGCACCGUCUAAAAAUAUACAUUUCUCUCAUUGUACUAAAAUUUUUACUAAAUAAUGCAAAAUCAAUUUAAACGCGGUGGCAACUCUUACUCCUAGGAACUGUAAGCUCCCUCUCCAGCCCCAUGUCCCACGCAAGCAUGCCAUACAAGCUAGAUGUCACGCGUUUCUCGUAAAAGCAUCUGAAGAACUUCUUGCUCGUGUCCCACGUAACAUUGCAACCUUGAAACAGAUAAAAAAAAUCUAUCACCAGCAAUAUGUUUGAGCCACACAAGACCUCCAUUUUCUGAGCUUCCAUUAUCUCUGGCUGAACAAGCAAAACUCCCUGAGAUUGAAAACCAGUGGCGAACAGCCUUACAUACUGAUUGGCAUCAAAUAUUUGAAGGUGACAUACCUCAGGAUGGUUCAGUGUUCUGGUCCAAAUCUGCUACAUUAAAAAAUGCAGGUGGAGAACUCAUUAUGAAAGACCUGGCAGAAUUUGCUCUGAAAGUGUAUAGCCUUCCUAUUAGUAAUGCCUUAGUAGAGCGCGUAUUUUCAAAAGUAACUGCAGUUAAAACUAAAGUGAGAAAUCGUAUGGGUUUAGGACUCUUAACUUCCAUUCUACGAAUCAAAACCUCCCUGAAAGAAAAAGGCAUGUGCUGCAAUACAUUUGAGCCUCCAGUGUCCAUGCUGCAUUAUGAUUCAUCUAUAUAUAAGGAUGAAAAAAUAGAGGAGGACGAGGAAAACCUGCUACAAUCAUUGCAGCUGAUCUAAGAAAAUCUCUGGCCUCCUGCUUUUGGGAACCUUUCUGCUACUUUUGAUGAGUCUCAUCUGGCAACACUGAGCUUAUGCGAUGUCACAGAACAUCAAAAACAAUGCGACGCUCGGGCACCUACCGCCAUGGUAGCUGCUGCUACAGAGGCCCCUCCAGCACCUGUGGCUGAGGGAACAGGCCCGGGCCCUGCCACCAUGGGAGGUAAAGGUUUCUUCUGGCCUAUAAAUGCUGUCCUCCUCCUUAUUGCCACAGUGGGAGAUUUGAAGCAAGAAUUUGCAAAGGGGACCAGAAAGAAGGUGGAGGUGUGGAGGGACGUGGCUCUGAGGAUGCGCCAAGAAGGCUAUCCAGUGAAUGGAGAACUCUGCGAUAAGAAAAUUCGCUCCCUAAAGCAAAGGUAGGUGAAAAUUUACUUUAGCACAAUGUUUCUUAACCUCUUAUGAUCUCAGCACCCCUUUUGGUCAGGCCUAAGCAGUUCAGCACCCUGUACUGAGGGAGUGUGGGCGUCUUGCCGUCUGGUGACAGACAUUAGCACACAACCGAACGUGCACAUUAGUAAUAUACAAAGCUUAUGAUGCUGAUUUAAUAUUAAAGUGUGGAACGCUCGUACAAAUCAAGUGUUUCUUUAAUCAUUAAGGUACAACAAACAAUAAAAUCAGAUUAAAGUUUACCCAUAUUGUAUUUCCAAAUAUGUGAUAAAAAUACGUUUGUCCAGACGUAUUCCUUUUACCUUUUACUGCCACUUAUGUGAUCUUCCCCAACACCCCCUUAAAUUUAUUUCUGCACCCCAGGUUAAGAAACACUGCUUUAGUGGCUUAAAAGUUACUGUGUGUAUUAGUAUGUUGAUUCCACUGUGAUAAACUGGGCAGGUAA